UUUAUAAAUUUUCCAAUCAAAUAUUGUGAUGUAAAUGUGAGUGGGAAGAAAAAAGGUGGAAUAUGACAUUCGUCCAUUAAUUGUUUAAUUAUGUUUGUUGUAACAAAGUUAGAUAACAAGUGUUUACUAUAUUACAUGAAAAGGGUGUUUUAAAUAUUUUUAAAAUUGUUUUUUUUGUUUAUUUUUAUUAUAGUUGGUGAUCUCCAUGGUGACUAAUGUUUUAUGAAAGUAGACAUUUGAAGUUGAUAUCUUGUCCAUAUUAAUAAUAUUUGCGAUUUCUACGAUGUGCUAAGCAUUCCGUAUUCACAUAGGAUUUAAAGUUCACAAACCUAAGGAUUUUGAUAUAGGCUGCCUAUCCUAAUACAAGCAUCAUUAAUUAAUUUCAUGGUUCGAACUUGUGAUUUAUAGGUUAAAUGUAGAUAACUUUAUUAUUAAUUCAAAGCUCAAAUGGAGUGGGGGACGAUGUCAUCAUAGAAAAUUAACGUGUUAACUUGACCAAGAAAAUACUUAGUGGUAUAAUUUUCCUCAAUUUUAAUUUGAUGAAAGAUGGAUUUAUCAAAAUUGUUAGCACCCUCCCUUUUUUCUAUCUUUUUGUAUAUUUUAUUUACAAAACAACAAAAUAUCCUAACCUAUUUCAGAUUUUGUGCAAUUUGAAUUUGAAACAGGUAGAAUUUUCACCUUUUUAUCAUCUUGUUGGCCAUUACUUUUUCUUAUAUAUACUUUGUUGAUUGAGAAAUGGGCAUGUUUUGUUUUAAUAAUGAUGGUCGAGAAUCGAGAUUAUCUUGGACACGCCUCGACUAAUUAUACAAGAUACAUAUUACCUCUCACUAGAACAAGUACUGAAUAACUUUGUUCACCAAGACUUCAACAAAUGAAAAGAAAGCACAUAGGAUUCUCUUUUGUUUCUGCUAGAAUUGGAACAUUAGACCUCAUGAUUCUCAACCACUUCGUUGAUCACUAAGCCACAUCAUUGAGUUCAUACUAGAAACGAAGAUAUUUUGUAAAGUAAAGGAAGCAGAGAACAAGUACGAUGUAGGAUUUUUACUUGAAAUAGGUUUUGGAUUCAAGUCCAAAUCUAUAAAUAGGGUGAUAGUUUCGUUGGAGAAACUUGCACACUUACAUAGAGAGAGGAUCAAAACACGAUCAAGAAUUUGAGAGAGUUUUGAGAUUUACACGGGGAGUGUUGCCAAUUUGUGAGGAAAAAGUUGUAAGAUUGUAAUUAAGAGUUUUGAUUACAAUCAAGUGUGUGUAGGAUUUGUCUAAAAAGUUUGAGAAACUUGACGGACAGUAGAAGACUUAAAACCUGGGUAUUUCUUUUUUUUGGUAGCUAGGAAUUAGAGUUUAUAAUUCCUUAAGUUACUUAGGUUUGUAAUCUGUUGUUGAGACUCAAAGUUCAAUGAAGAGAAGUUAACUACCACAAAGGUGUAAGUUGUGGUUUUUUUCCCUAAAAUGAGCCGGGUUCCUUAGGCAAAUUUGGGAUCAGAAUUCCAACAAUGUGCCUAAAAUACGCCUAUGACAAUAUAGGAUUUUAUAUACAAUCCGCUAUUUGUCUAAGUAGGAAAGUGGCUUCCUAUAGACCCUCGGCUCAAAGAAUGAAUGGAUACUACAUUAUGGACUAAAACUGAGAAGAGCCCAACCCAGCAUUCCUCUCAUUUCUGGGGGUCACAAUAAACCUGUUUACCAACUUUGAUUACUUCAAGGAAAUGACAAUAAACAUCCUUUUUUUCUCCACUUCGAUUACAAGAUAAUGUUCAAGCAGUUGAUCAAUAUGAAGUUCACCUGAUUAGUUCUUUGAAACUAAGAACAUGGAUAGAGAUAAUACCUCAAAAGUGGGGACUUUUCUGAGCGAAACCCCGUCUUCCAACAAGCAACAAUCUCACUUAAGGUCAGGGGAUGUGAUUCCUUUGGUGUUUACACUUCCCAGUGCCUGCUGAAAUCCUCAGUUGAUGGCGCAGACACCGACUUUAACCUCGGUAAUGAAUCUGGAUUGCUGACUAUGACUAUAUACCAGUUCCAAAAGAGGAGAUAUACAAAUGGCAUUUAACAGAAUAAUCAUAUAGGAAUAUUUCAAACUCAAAUGAACCUAAUCAUUGGUUAGACCAAAUAUUGGAUAAAAGCUUUUGUAUUGUGCGAGAGAAAUGUGAGUCGCAAUAUGAGGCUGAUUAGGUCUCCUCAGGGAAAAUUACUUUUUCUCUAUA